CAAUGGAACAUCAGGCAAGUGGUCUGGUGAAGUUCCCACGUGCAGACUGGCCGACAAUACAUUUUUCACGACAGUUUGGUUUCGUAUUCUCAUCGAUAUAGCAGCGGUUGUCGUAGCCUUGUUCAUCAUCAUAAUUGUUUUCUUGGUGGUACGAUAUAUUCGUAGACGCCGUCAAGGAAUCUUCCAUCGCUGGACACCUCCCUCCUCCCGAUCAUCUAGUAGAGCACCAGCUGCCCUUCGUUCUGAAGGCUAUCGUGUUCAAUUUCGGAAUCAUUCCA